UACAGAGGGGGCGAGCGUUGUUCGGAAUUACUGGGCGUAAAGGGCGCGUAGGCGGCCCGCUAAGUCGAACGUGAAAUCCCCAGGCUCAACCUGGGAACUGCGUCCGAUACUGGCAGGCUUGAAUCCGGGGGAGGGAUGUGGAAUUCCAGGUGUAGCGGUGAAAUGCGUAGAUAUCUGGAGGAACACCGGUGGCGAAGGCGGCAUCCUGGACCGGUAUUGACGCUGAGGCGCGAAAGCUAGGGGAGCAAACGGG
rnacentral:rRNA from 1 species